AGAAUAUCAGCAAGUCCAGGGACGACAUUGUGAAAAGACUGAAAGGAACAAACAAACAAUGUCUAAAGAUUGUAAAUAUGCCAUUAUGGAGUUCCAGAAGAGUUCUUACCUCCACACUGUGGGAAAAAGCCCUUAAACCCGGUUCUCCAGAUGCAGCAGCUUCUCUACACCCUGAGCUUCGUGUCUCGUACUGAACUACCAAGUCAGAUCUCCAGAGCCCCGACCACCGGCACAGAGCAGCUCCGCCCACCAUUGGGCGACAGGAACGCCCCCCUUUGCUAUCAUCACAACCUCAUUAUUCCAGUUGGGCUGAAGGAGAUGACAGCACGGACCACUUUAGAUUCCUGAAGAAAUGCCGAAGCUUGAGUGGGGAUUAAACAUAGGCUAAUGUGUGGUUGCAGAAGGUCAGUAUCUCCAGAUCUAACCUGCUGGAACAUAAACAGGCAGAAA